rnacentral:rRNA from 1 species
AUUGAACGCUGGCGGCAGGCCUAACACGUGCAAGUCGAACGGUAACAGGAAGAAGCUUGCUUCUUUGCUGACGAGUGGCGGACGGGUGAGUAAUGUCUGGGAAACUGCCUGAUGGAGGGGGAUAACUACUGGAAACGGUAGCUAAUACCGCAUAACGUCGCAAGACCAAAGAGGGGGACCUUCGGGCCUCUUGCCAUCGGAUGUGCCCAGAUGGGAUUAGCUAGUAGGUGGGGUAACGGCUCACCUAGGCGACGAUCCCUAGCUGGUCUGAGAGGAUGACCAGCCACACUGGAACUGAGACACGGUCCAGACUCCUACGGGAGGCAGCAGUGGGGAAUAUUGCACAAUGGGCGCAAGCCUGAUGCAGCCAUGCCGCGUGUAUGAAGAAGGCCUUCGGGUUGUAAAGUACUUUCAGCGGGGAGGAAGGGAGUAAAGUUAAUACCUUGGCUCAUUGACGUUACCCGCAGAAGAAGCACCGGCUAACUCCGUG